GGACCGGUGGUGCAGUGGCAACACACUGCGUCUCGGCGUAAAGAGGAGUGGUUCGAUUCCCUCCAGGUCCA
rnacentral:tRNA from 1 species